rnacentral:rRNA from 1 species
UACGUAGGGUCCGAGCGUUGUCCGGAAUUGUUGGGCGUAAAGGGCUCGUAGGCGGUUCGUCACGUCGGGAGUGAAAACUCGGGGCUUAACCCCGAGCCUGCUUCCGAUACGGGCAGACUAGAGGUAGGCAGGGGAGAGCGGAACUCCUGGUGUAGCGGUGGAAUGCGCAGAUAUCAGGAAGAACACCGGUGGCGAAGGCGGCUCUCUGGGCCUUACCUGACGCUGAGGAGCGAAAGCGUGGGUAGCGAACAGG